GUCUUCGUGGCUCAGUUGGUUAGAGCGUUGGUCUCAUACACGGUAUGAUUAAGCUGAUCACAGCUUGGCCAUCCAAAGGUCGUGAGUUCGAGUCUCACCGAGGACA